rnacentral:rRNA from 1 species
UGGGGAAUAUUGCGCAAUGGGGGGAACCCUGACGCAGCAACGCCGCGUGAUUGAAGAAGGCCUUCGGGUUGUAAAGAUCUUUAACCGGGGACGAAGAAUGACGGUACCCGGGGAAUAAGCUCCGGCUAACUACGUGCCAGCAGCCGCGGUAAUACGUAGGGAGCAAGCGUUAUCCGGAUUUACUGGGUGUAAAGGGCGUGCAGGCGGGCUGGCAAGUCAGAAGUGAAAGGUGAGGGCUUAACCCUCAGACUGCUUUUGAAACUGCUGGUCUUGAGUGAUGGAGAGGCAGGCGGAAUUCCCAGUGUAGCGGUGAAAUGCGUAGAUAUUGGGAGGAACACCAGUGGCGAAGGCGGCCUGCUGGACAUUAACUGACGCUGAGGCGCGAAAGCGUGGGGAGCAAACAGG